ACAUAUGAUACCAAACGCUGCAGAGGAGAGCUGUUAAAUUAAUUUGUGUGAAUCUGAGAUUUUAACAGAAUACAUAAUUCUUAUUAUUCAUACAUCUUUUCAGAUAUUAUUUUGAUUGCUUUAAUCAUAUUUUGAGAAAACUGUUUUUAGAUCCAGUGCUGAGAAAUUUGGAUAAGUUUUUAAUUCUGAUUUUAAUUUUUACCUGAUGCCCAAAGAAGAUAAUCCACAGCUCCUAAAACAGUACCAACCAUUGAUGGUUGGUAAAAAUCAGAAUUAAAACAGUACCAACCAUUGAUGACAAUGAUCAGAAGAUAAAAUGUUAUAGGAAACAUUUGCCUUCAUUUAUCAGUUGAAUAGCUACUUAUUAACACUCUACUGUGUGUCAAUGUGAUAGUCAUCUCUUAAGAAUUAUUAAUUAAUUAAUAUAUACUAGAAAUAUUAAUUAAUACUGGAAAUAUUAUUUUCAAAUUUCACAUAGUUUCUGAUGGUAUAAAAACAUAUCACUAGACCUUUAUACUGCUGAGGAAGUGGUGCUAGAUAGCUCUACAGCCAGGAGUUGGUACAUUUCUUCCCUAACCACUUAAUUUUCAUUUUGCCAAUAUACUGUUUCCUGUAGAGGAAAUGGAGCAUAAGCAUUACUCUUUUAUAUUUUGAUAGUGUUACCUAUUUCUAAAUGUAAAUUUUGACAUCCUUUACUACUGCUCAAAGUAGAGAAGACAUGUGUCAUCCUCAUUUCUCCCCGUCUUAUAAUACUUUGCAUGACCACAUUUAUACAGCCCAAACUAGAAAAAAAUGUUGCAAAUAUUACUGACAAUCAUUCAAAAGUAUGUUAUCUACUUAAAGUCUUAUUUUUUAAUCUUACACUUACCCAUGUUUCUUGGGAUGAUGAUUUUGUUGACCGAGGAGCCAGAUAAAUCUGCUUGCACCCAGAAGAGAAACCAAUAUUUUUGAGGGGACAGGAAAUUGCACUCAUAUUUCAUCACAAACCAAUGAGGAAGCAGCAUAUUAAUGAGAAGGAUGUACAUUAUCCAAGUUUGAGCAACAGAAGUCUCCUAAGUAUUUUAAAAGAUGUUUUAUGUAUUAUUUACUGUAGUAUAAUUUUUAUUACUCACUUUUCUCUUUGCAUCUUAAUUACAAUUGUAUAUUGAUACUAUAUGUGCUUUAUUUGAUAGAAUAUGUACUAGAAUCUCAUUCAUUCAUUCACUCCCUCCCUCACUCAUUUGUCUGUCAACACAUAUAUCUAUCCUCCUCUCCUAAGAGACCACUGUGCUGGCAGAUAUAUAGGACCUGACCCUAACCCAUAAGGAGCUUAUCACUUAGUGAAGGAGAAAGCGCUAAUAACCGCAAUGGUAAAAAUAGUAAAAAUGGAUAAAUACUCCAAGAGAGGUACAAAAAGAUAGGAUGAGUCGUUGGAUGUGUAGAAUAGGAGAGUCUGUUGUAGAUGGAAUCAGGGUGAUCAAGAUCCUGGGAGAAAAACAACAGAGAGAGAAUGCGGAUGUGUGUAUAAAGAGCAUGUUCAUUGCUUAAUGGCAUGAUGGUGGGGUCAAGGUAGCCAACCAGGUAAAGUUUUUGUUUUUUUUCAAAGGGAUUAUAUAUUAGCUAUACAGUAUUUUAUUGUAGAACCAUUUUCUCCUUUGAUUUUCCUCUUGGAAGAGAAGAUUCCAUCAGAAAUUGCUAAACCAUGCUAAAGCCACUUGAACUAACUGGCUUAGGCAAAUCAAUACUUUUAUGAGACUUGAAACUUUAUUUGAGAAAGACAUGGGAUGUUAUAAUGAAAAUUCACUUAGUAUAGUAACACCUUGACAGUUGUUGCCAAAUCUGUAAGUGAUCUUUUUUUUUUUUUCGGUACGCGGGCCUCUCACUGUUGUGGCCUCUCCCGUUGCGGAGCACAGACUCCGGACGCGCAGGCUCAGCGGCCAUGGCUCACGGGCCCGGCCGCUCCGCAGCAUGUGGGAUCUUCCCGGACUGGAGCACGAACCCGCGUCCCCUGCAUCGGCAGGCGGACUCUCUACCACUGUGCCACCAGGGAAGCCCUAGCUAGCUGAUGAAGAGAUGGAAAUUCCAGAGCUGUUGAGUCUCUGACAUUUAAACAACUCCAAGGGUGAAGUCCAGAUAGGAGGCUAUCUCAGGGCUACAUGUGUGAGAGGCCUGAGACAAACUUACCACAUUCCCCUGUGCCCAGCACAGCGCUGGUCAGGGCACAUGAGGGGUGCACAGAAGUGAUGCAGAGCCUCAGCCCACCUCAUGGCGCUUCCAAUGGCCCAGUGUGUCACAGAAGAAGCCUUGUCCCCAUUGAUGGGGGACAACCCAGGAUACCUCUGACACCCAGUGUGUGUGGGUUUUCCUUCCACCAACAACCAGUUCUCCAGUACUCCAGACACCAGCUAGAAGUCCUUCAAUUUAGUUCACUUCUGCCACUAAUUACCUGGAGUACGCACCAGAUUCCACAAGGUAAGAGCUCCAUCCCACAGGGCUGUUUCCACUUCAGAUGCUGGUCACAAGACCUCAGUCUCCAGUACUUUGGACCAACUGGCUGUCAUUUGGGGGUUCCCACAACCCACUCCUCAGGUUCAAUAAUUUGCCAGAAUGGCUCUUGGAACUCAGGAAAGCAUUUUACUGACAUUUACCAGUUUGUUACAACUGAACCACUGUUAGAUAUUGUUACAGGCUGAAUUUUGUCUGCUUCAAAUUCAUAUGUUGAAGCUCUAACCCCAGUGCCUCAGAAUGUGACUGUAUUUGGAGACAGGGCCUUUAUAGAUGUGAUUAAGUUAAAAUGAAAUUGUUAGCAUGGACCCUAACCCAAUCUGACUGGUAUCCUUAAAAGAAGAGGAAAUUUGGAUACACAAAGAGACACCAGGGAUGCGCAUGCACAGAGGGGAGACUGUGUGAGGAUACAGAGAGAUGGUGGCCACCUGCAUGCCAAGGAGAGAGACUUCAGAAAAAGCCAAAGUUCCCACCACCUUGAUGCUGAAUUUCAGAACUCUGAGAAAAUAAAUUUCUGUUGUUUAAACCACUGUUUUGUUGUAUUUUGUUA